rnacentral:tRNA from 1 species
GUCCUAGGUGGCCGAGACCAGGCAUCGAGCUUUUAACUCGACCACAGUAAUCACUCCAGGAUA